UUACCCUGUGGCUUACAUGGAUGUAAUGUGUGGGGAAAACUAUCCUUAAAGGAAUAUGAAAUGCUAGAAAUCACUCAACGCUAUUUCUGUAAGAAAACCCAGGGUUAUGGAAACUUGCUCUCGAUAGACCAGAAUAUUUUACUUCCUUAGCUAGACUAGUUUGCUUAGGUUCAAUGCCAAUAGAAUCAAAGGAAUGUAUUUGUGGAACAGUUGCGAAUGAUAUAGUGAAACACGUUUU